CCCUUAGAUGUUCUGGGCCGCACGCGCGCUACACUGAUGCAUUCAACGAGUCUAAAACCUGGUCUGAUAGGGCUGGGUAAUCUUUUGAAUGUGCAUCGUGAUUGGGAUAGAUGAUUGCAAUUCUUCAUCUUCAACGAGGAAUGCCUAGUAAACGCAAGUCAUCAGCUUGCAUUGAUUACGUCCCUGCCCUUUGUACACACCGCCCGUCGCUCCUACCGAUUGAAUGUUCCGAUGAAUACCAUGGACUGAGAGUAUGAAUGGGUUCGCCUAUUUCUGCUUCUCGGGAAGUGAAGUAAAUCUUAUCAUUUAGAGGAAGGAGAAGUCGUAACA
rnacentral:rRNA from 1 species